CCUACGGGAGGCAGCAGUGAGGAAUUUUCUGCAAUGGGCGAAAGCCUGACAGAGCAAUACCGCGUGAGGGAUGAAGACUUACUGAGUUGUAAACCUCGGUACCUUAAGGAAGAAGAUCUGACGGUACUUAAGGUGGAAAGCAUCGGCUAACUCCGUGCCAGCAGCCGCGGUAAGACGGGGGAUGCAAGUGUUAUCCGGAUUUACUGGGCGUAAAGCGUCUGCAGGUGGUUUCUUAAGUCUACUGUUAAAUCUUGAGGCUCAACCUCAAAUCUGCAGUAGAAACUAGGAGACUUGAGUAUAGUAGGGGUAGAGGGAAUUUCCAGUGGAGCGGUGAAAUGCGUAGAUAUUGGAAAGAACACCGAUGGCGAAGGCACUCUACUGGGCUAUUACUGACACUCAGAGACGAAAGCUAGGGGAGCAAAUGGGAUUAGAUACCCCAGUAGUCCUAGCCGUAAACGAUGGAUACUCGAUGUUGGACGUAUCGACCCGUUCAGUAUCUUAGCUAACGCGUUAAGUAUCCCGCCUGGGGAGUACGCUCGCAAGAGUGAAACUCAAAGGAAUUGACGG
rnacentral:rRNA from 1 species